rnacentral:RNase_P_RNA from 1 species
GGAGUAGGCGCAGGCAGUUGCAGAUCAGUCAUAGUGGCUGGUUUGAGGAAAGUCCGGGCUUCCGAAAGACCAAACUUGCUGGAUAACGUCCAGUGCGAGCGAUCGUGAGGAUAGUGCCACAGAAAGAUACCGCCUUUUCAGUGAACAGUUAUCAGUAAACAGUAAACAGUUAAUACUUGAUAACUGAUAACUGAAUAGGGUAAGGGUGCAAAGGUGCGGUAAGAGCGCACCAGCAGCGUCGAGAGGCGCUGGCUCGGUAAACCCCGGUUGGAAGCAAGGCGAAAGGAACUACGGUUGGUCUUUUACCAGUUCCGCUCCAAAAGAGCCGCUUGAGGCGUCUGGUAACAGGCGUCCCAGAUAGAUAACUGCCCUUGAAAGAGAACAGAACCCGGCUUAUGUCCUGCUCUUUCC